rnacentral:rRNA from 1 species
ACCAGACUCCUACGGGAGGCAGCAGUGGGGAAUAUUGGGCAAUGGGCGCAAGCCUGACCCAGCAAUGCCGCGUGAAGGAAGAAGGCUUUCGGGUUGUAAACUUCUUUGACAGGGGAAGAGCAGAAGACGGUACCCUGAAAACAAGCCACGGCUAACUACGUGCCAGCAGCCGCGGUAAUACGUAGGUGGCAAGCGUUGUCCGGAUUUACUGGGUGUAAAGGGCGUGUAGCCGGGAAGGCAAGUCUGGAGUGAAAGGCAGGGGCCCAACCCCUGGACUGCUCUGGAAACUGUUGUACUUGAGUGCAGGAGAGGUAAGUGGAAUUCCUAGUGUAGCGGUGAAAUGCGUAGAUAUUAGGAGGAACACCAGUGGCGAAGGCGGCUUACUGGACUGUAACUGACGUUGAGGCUCGAAAGCGUGGGGAGCAAACAGGAUUAGAUACCCGAGUAGA